GGGUUGUGCAGAGCAGUCCCAGUGCCCUGAAGGAGUUUUUUGGGGUAUAUGGGAGUGGUGGCAGUAGACAGUGCCCCUACAGGAGCAGUGGUCCUUUGGGAAUACUUGGCUCUGCCGUGGUUGGGAUGGUGGUGGGGGUCUCCUCUCUACGUGUGUGUUGAGGAGUGCUUGGUUACCAAGGAGCUAGUGCAUUGAAGAGAGCUUUCAACAGUGAAUCUGGAGACUUAGGGCCUAGUACUGGCUCACCUUGCUGUGUGACCUUGGGUAAGAAUAUUGACCUCACCAAAACUCAGUUGUUCCAUUUGUAAAAAUGGAACUUGACAAUCCUGCUCUGUUCCUUUCUCAGGGCAAUGUGAGAACAAUGGGAAAUGAUUUAAGAGGACCACAGUGGUCUGGAAUAGGAUCCUUAGGAGAAGCAAUGUGGAGGAAACCAGGUGCUCAAGAUGUUUGUUGAACUCGAGUGUUGCUCAGUCUUGGGCCAGGCUUUGCUGUGGGGACACUGAGAGGAAUCAAGCUGAGACCUGGCUCUGGGAACCCACUGGUUCAGUGAUUUGCACACCUUUUAAACACAUGCCUCAUUUUGAUAAACAAAGAGCUUCUCCCUUUAAUGUUUAAUCCAGUGAGGUUACUUUCAAGUCCAGAAUUUUAUUUUUGUUUCCUGCUUUGUUUUGCAAAAAAUAUCUUUAAACCAUGAGUGAUCACAUCCUUCCCUCCAAGUUUGGGGUGCACCUCCCACCCCCUCUCCUGCUUAGAGAGGUAAGGUGUAUCCAGGUGAAGACUAAAACUUCUAGGAGCUCAUGGAUGUUCCCCAUAGGCAUUUAUUGCAGGUCUUAUGGGUAGCAGGCAAAGUGCUUGGAUAAAAGAAGGCAGCUCUGUUGGUAAGGUCCUGGGGUAGGGGCAGUCUGGUGAAUGAGGGUCACCAGGUUGGGCAACAUAGCUCAAGGAGAGGCUAUAGGGGUCUGGAAGUCUUCUGGGAGGAGGUGGCAUUUGAGAUGAGCCCAGGAGGGCAGGUAGAGGGGGUUAUUUUGGCUUGAACAAAGACGUCGAAGGGCGAGUGCUGGAGGUUUUGGGAGGUGAGAGGCUCCUCCGGCUGGGGGUUGCCUGACCCCUUCUUUCCCUUCUGCCUUUCCAGGGGCUGGUGAUUGCAGCUGGAAGUGUCCAUGACCGAGCUGGAGUCCUCCGGGGGCGGGUCCCCUGUGGGGGACGGGGAGGAGGGUCUGGGGGACGAGCGAGGCCUGGUCAUCCACCACCCUGCCGAGGAGCAGCCCCACCGCUGCCUGCUGUGCGGCCAGACCUUCUCGCAGCAACCCAGCCUCGUGAGGCACCAGAAGGCACACGCCGGGGCGGGCCGCGCGGCCUCCUUCGUGUGCCCGGAGUGCGGCAAGGCUUUCAGCGUGAAGCACAACCUCGAGGUGCACCAGCGCACGCACACGGGGGAGCGACCCUUCCCCUGCCCCGAGUGUGGCCGCUGCUUCAGUCUCAAGCAGAACCUGCUCACGCACCAGCGCAUCCACAGCGGGGAGAAGCCGCACCAGUGCGCGCAGUGCGGCCGUUGCUUCCGGGAGCCGCGCUUCCUGCUCAACCACCAGCGCACCCACGCGCGCAUGCCCGCGCCGCACCCGCGCCGCCCCGGCGUCUUCGGGGAGCGGCGGCCCUACUUCUGCCCGCGCUGCGGCAAGAGCUUCGCGCGGGAGGGCUCGCUCAAGUCCCACCAGCGCAGCCACGGCCACGGGCCCGAGGGCCAGGCGGCCCACCUAGGCCGCGUGCUAUGACAAGCACGUGGCCUGCCACCCUCAGCUGCCUCCAGGCCCAGAGCGGCGUCUCGGGGCCCUGGAGAUGGAGCUGGGCUGAGGCCCUCUCUCUGGACAGGAUCCCGGGAGAGGGACAACACUGGCUUGGGGUGUCAAGCUCAAGACCCGAUGCAGCUGCUUUGGGCUCCUGCGUUGGUUUUCCUCGGGCUCUUGCAGCCUUAAGCAGGUGAGGCCUGCAGGGCGGCCUGAAGCCCCAGAGGUCCAGAGGUGUCAGGGGCGGGCGGGUGAGUGCGUGGGGAGCAAGCUGGGUUUGUAGGUCUGGUUAUGACGAGCUGUUUACCAAAUCGUCAUCUCCAGAAUGUCAGAGUUGACAGCGACUUGGAGAGGACCACUUUCCACAAUCCCCAGGUCCAGUCUCAGUCCCAAGGCCUCCUUCACCCACUCUGUGGUGUCCUUGAGAAGUCAUUGCACUUCGUGUCUCAGUUUGUUCAUCUGUAAGUGGAGGAUCAAGUUGAGAGUCUCCUCCUCCCUGGGGCAUUGUGAGGAUUUGCUGUUAGGAGAGGGUAGCAUCAUGUGUGUGCGCUGUGCUGUGCUGUGCUAUGCUGCACUCUCAGAAGGAGGCAUAGGUGAGGACCACAGCACAGUCACUCGUGUGUGACUGAUGCCUACACAGGAUAUGGGCUGUAGUGGGAACAAUCUGUGAAGUUUCUGGGAGAGAGGUGACUGGAGUCACUUGGGGGAAUGCCAUGGCUUUGAACUGGCCCUGGGGAUGAAUAGACUUGCUCCAGAAGGGCAGGUAUGUGGAAGGAUUUGGGAAGUGAGGUUUUCUUAGUGGAGGUUCUAAUUUGCCCUAGGAAGGACUUUGUGGUAAGGGAGGAGGGACCUCGGAGACUUUUAAUGAGAACCUAGUGGGCUCAGACCUGUGCUUUAAAGGCACUGUGAGGACAGAUGGAAGACCCAGAGCCUGGGGCCAACCAGGCAGAAGAUGAAGCUCCAGCUAAGAUGCUUGGCUGAGGUCACACAGUGAGAAUGGGGUGAGCCGGAACUUGCCUCCAGGACCUCUGAUUGCAAGUUCACGCUCUGAGGCACAGACCUCUUUAGCUGGUUGGCAGAUGUAGAAAUGGCCUUCUCCAAGCUUGUCCCAAGUCCCAGUACUCAGCACAGUGGGUAAGGUCAGGCUUUGUUUUGGAUUCUGGACCCCAAGACCCUUCAGCUGUACUGCUGAAAAAUACAAAAUGGAGCUGAGAGGAUUCCAGCAUGUGGCUGGGGGUCAUGUGAAGGAUCCCAGGCAGGGCCAUCACUGGGUGGUGCAGAUGCCUGAGGGCAUACGGAUGAUGGACACUGCUGCUCCCAGAGUCCUUGCUUCCCAUUCAAGUCUGUGCUGAGUGCUGGAGACCUAUUCCUUCUUCCCUAUGCCCUCUCUGUCCUUCCUCAGUGCAGUGUGGCUCCCCAGAGAUCGAUUUCCCUCUGCCUGCUACCUUUGGUAGUUGUUGCAAUGUGGACUAGCACUUGGUGGCAGAGAAUAAGAUUAAGCAGGGUCCUGGGACAAUUGGAGCCAAUCACCCAAAUGUCCUGGCCCCAAGAUGUUCCAUCUGUAAAUGGGAUUAAUAAUUCUCGUCUUGCAUUGUAGAAGGUUAAGGGACUUACUCAAAGCCCCAGGCAGAUGCAGCCGGGGCAGCUGAUGUCCCUUCUAGCUUUGGGGGUGGAUGGGCAGGGCCAUGUUGUAGCACCAGACCUGACCCUGAUCUCUUUGUUUCUGUGAACAGAUGUGAAGUGAGCAGGACCUCAUGGCCCAGAAGGUGCCGGGUACAUCUGGGCACAGAGACUAGGAAUGGAGUCCCAUGGGAGCCUGCAUGGCACUGCACCCUGGCAUGAGGACAUGUCCUCUAAGAAGAUCUACCUUGGGAGGUGCCCUGCAGUGACCUGUAGAGGUGACCUGAUGGAACCUGGAAUUAGAGGCCAAUUCCAAAACCUGGUGGGAAAACCCCCCAGGCCUUGAGGGAGUCACAGCAGGGGCAGGCCUCCUGCUGGCUUCCUGGCCACGUAUCUCUACUCUCAUGUGGCUGCAGGGAUGGCAUCUGUGGCCUUUCUGCUCCUGCCUGGUCCGCCAGUCAGCUAAAAUUCAGAGACAGGAAGUGACUAGUCUAAGUUAACACAGCAAGUCAGCGGCAGGUCAGGCUUGAGGGCAGAACCUUGCCCCUGGGUGAACCAUUCCUGCAGGCUUCAUUUCCUUUCUGAGUCAGGAAGGUUGUUAACACUUUGGGGUCACGUGGCCCUUUGAAAAUUUGUGAAAAUUGUGGACCUUCUCUCCAGGAAAACAUGCAUACUCACUUAGACUCAAAAAUUCCAAGCAAUUUCAGGAGCUGCUGGACUCCAGACAAAGAACCUCAGCCCUGGAGGCUUCAUCUGCCACCCUUCCCUUACCUGACACAGAGCCCCGAGCUAAGGCUGCCAUGCAAGUAGUGUUUCUCUCUCCCCUGACCUCGUUCCCGUUCCCUUGUUUGGGAAUAAAGAAUUCUGAGGUGGAGAUUCAUAUAGUCAAUCCCUUCUCUCAGACACCAGUGCACCAGAUUUCUGGAACCUAAUUUCCCUUCCCCUGACGUCACUGAAGAUUCCCUGGACUGGUUUGCUCCUCUGCAUUGUUUCGUGUUCUGCCAACAGGAUGCUGGCUUGUGAAAUGGAGCCUCUGCUCGGCCUGGGCUCUGAUUUCACUGGGAGGUGUCAGGGAAGCUGGACUCUGAGGAGGUGGAAGAAGCACCAGUAAGCCCACCCAGGGAAAAGGAAACCAGUCACCCUCAGACAAGGCUCCUGCCCCACCAGGGCAGCCCUAGGCAGUGUCAUGUGGGAGAGCUGGGGAGGAAGACGCUAGAGCCCUGCUGCUGGUGCCUGUGGCUGGUGGGAGAGGCAGGUGCAGAAGCUGGGGUGCCCCAAGCAGAUGGGUACAAGUGGAGGGACCAGGCUCCAGGCCGGCUGCAGAGCUUAGUCGUCACACCUGAGCAGGUCAUCCUGGAGCCCACAAGGCUCACCUGCCUCCCCAGAAUGAACUGCCCAUCAGAAAAGGUGGGACCCAUUGGGUUGGGAUGGAAGCCAAUGGAUUCCUGUCCUGGGUUCUUGCUGCUCCUAUCCCUCAGACAGUUUGGCACAUAGGUUCUUCCUGGACACCUACUGUAUAGGAUUGCAGAAUGCUUGGGGAAAUAGAGAAAGGAGAGCCACUCCCUGCCCUGGAGGCUUCCAUGUGGCUCUGGUCCUUGGCCAAUCUAGGGAGAACCACAACAGCACACCCUCUCUCUGCUAAUUGUUCAGCUUGUCUCCUUGCCGUACCUGUGCUGUGCCUUCCCUGGUAUUGCUCGGAAACGUCCCCCUUCUAUCCUCCUCUCUACUGAGCCCUCCUUAUCCACAGGGUUGGGCUUCCUUCUGUGUAUAGGACCUGUGUGAACAUACUGUCACCCCUGAGUACACUGUGCUGUCUAGUCUUGUGCUGCAGUUUCCUCUGUGUGUAUGUGCGUGCGCACAUGUGUGUCUUGAGUCUCCAACUAGACUAAGCUCCCUGAGGGCAAGGACUGUGUCAUUUCUUUUUGAACCCCAGCUGGUCUAGCACAGGGCUGGACUCAUAACUCUCAGGAAACACUUGUCAACUGGCUGAUGAAGCAAGUGCUGGAGCGUGGGGGUGGGUAUGGGGGGAUCGUGAGGGGAGAGGGCAUAUGAGUUAACUAGUGGGUGCGUUUUAUUGGGCUGUGGACUGGCUCCCCUGGGUCAGUAGUGGACUCUGGAGGCCUCAGGUCUUCCACUACUUGGAGGCAGUGGAUGCAGGAGGAACCCCCACCCCCACCCCUGCCCAUGACUAUGCAGGACUAAACAGAAAGGGUCGUCCAGGCUGGCUAUUUUUGGAGGUCACUGACACUUACUGGAGCUGACCAAGUGGAAUAAAUGUUCUCUUGACAUCAGCUGGUGUGAAGAGUAGUC
rnacentral:lncRNA from 1 species